UACGAAGGGGUCUAGCGUUGCUCGGAAUCACUGGGCGUAAAGCGCACGUAGGCGGCUUUCUAAGUCAGGGGUGAAAUCCUGGAGCUCAACUCCAGAACUGCCUUUGAUACUGGAGAGCUUGAGUCCGGAAGAGGUGAGUGGAACUCCGAGUGUAGAGGUGAAAUUCGUAGAUAUUCGCAAGAACACCAGUGGCGAAGGCGGCUCACUGGCCCGGUACUGACGCUGAGGUGCGAAAGCGUGGGGAGCAAACAGG
rnacentral:rRNA from 1 species